rnacentral:piRNA from 1 species
UGUUGCAAAAUGAGGAAAAUG